UGCUAAAUCUAAUGACUCUUUUAAUUAAAAACCCUAGAACAUGUCUUUUAAUUCCUUUUAUGAUUGAGUUUUCUUUAGGAAAAUUGAUAAAAUUGCUUAUUUAAAAUUAGGGACACUUAAUUUAUUCCCAAAACGUGUCGGAAACGUCCCUAUAUCUGUUCCAUCACGUUUCCAUUUUUUGCUGGCGUCCCUAAUAUCUCUGAAACGUGUGGGAAACGUUUUUAGGCUGUCCCCAGCAAGUACCCGUCCCCGAAACGAAGCUGGGACGUGAGACGGCUGAAAAUUAACGUCCCCGUGCAUCAUAG
rnacentral:lncRNA from 1 species